GGGCCUAAUACAUGGCAAGGUCGAACGAACUCUGGUAUUGAUUGGUGCUUGCAUCAUGAUUUACAUUUGAGUGAGUGGCGAACUGGUGAGUAACACGUGGGAAACCUGCCCAGAAGCGGGGGAUAACACCUGGAAACAGAUGCUAAUACCGCAUAACAACUUGGACCGCAUGGUCCGAGCUUGAAAGAUGGCUUCGGCUAUCACUUUUGGAUGGUCCCGCGGCGUAUUAGCUAGAUGGUGGGGUAACGGCUCACCAUGGCAAUGAUACGUAGCCGACCUGAGAGGGUAAUCGGCCACAUUGGGACUGAGACACGGCCCAAACUCCUACGGGAGGCAGCAGUAGGGAAUCUUCCACAAUGGACGAAAGUCUGAUGGAGCAACGCCGCGUGAGUGAAGAAGGGUUUCGGCUCGUAAAACUCUGUUGUUAAAGAAGAACAUAUCUGAGAGUAACUGUUCAGGUAUUGACGGUAUUUAACCAGAAAGCCACGGCUAACUACGUGCCAGCAGCCGCGGUAAUACGUAGGUGGCAAGCGUUGUCCGGAUUUAUUGGGCGUAAAGCGAGCGCAGGCGGUUUUUUAAGUCUGAUGUGAAAGCCUUCGGCUCAACCGAAGAAGUGCAUCGGAAACUGGGAAACUUGAGUGCAGAAGAGGACAGUGGAACUCCAUGUGUAGCGGUGAAAUGCGUAGAUAUAUGGAAGAACACCAGUGGCGAAGGCGGCUGUCUGGUCUGUAACUGACGCUGAGGCUCGAAAGUAUGGGUAGCAAACAGGAUUAGAUACCCUGGUAGUCCAUACCGUAAACGAUGAAUGCUAAGUGUUGGAGGGUUUCCGCCCUUCAGUGCUGCAGCUAACGCAUUAAGCAUUCCGCCUGGGGAGUACGGCCGCAAGGCUGAAACUCAAAGGAAUUGACGGGGGCCCGCACAAGCGGUGGAGCAUGUGGUUUAAUUCGAAGCUACGCGAAGAACCUUACCAGGUCUUGACAUACUAUGCAAAUCUAAGAGAUUAGACGUUCCCUUCGGGGACAUGGAUACAGGUGGUGCAUGGUUGUCGUCAGCUCGUGUCGUGAGAUGUUGGGUUAAGUCCCGCAACGAGCGCAACCCUUAUUAUCAGUUGCCAGCAUUAAGUUGGGCACUCUGGUGAGACUGCCGGUGACAAACCGGAGGAAGGUGGGGAUGACGUCAAAUCAUCAUGCCCCUUAUGACCUGGGCUACACACGUGCUACAAUGGAUGGUACAACGAGUUGCGAACUCGCGAGAGUAAGCUAAUCUCUUAAAGCCAUUCUCAGUUCGGAUUGUAGGCUGCAACUCGCCUACAUGAAGUCGGAAUCGCUAGUAAUCGCGGAUCAGCAUGCCGCGGUGAAUACGUUCCCGGGCCUUGUACACACCGCCCGUCACACCAUGAGAGUUUGUAACACCCAAAGUCGGUGGGGUAACCUUUUAGGAACCAGCCGCCUAAAGGGGGAACAAGAAU
rnacentral:rRNA from 1 species